AAGGAAGUAUUUUGAUCUGAGUGCAUAUAGAGUUAACUAUCAUAUGUCAUAGAUAGCUGUUAUAAAUAUAGGCUACAUAUCACAGUUGACACUUGAAUAAAACACACGAAACGAUAACAGUCCAUCGACCUAAAUCAGUUUACAGGAGAACUAUACCAAUAUGAUUAUAAAAACGUGUUUACUCCUGUUGGUUAUGUACUCAAUACAGGUACUGGGGUCGAAUCGUUUGAAAUGUCAGCCGUGUGAUAUGGGCAUGUACAUGGAGAAACCAUGCCAAGUAAAAGGAGGAAAAUCCGUUUGUAAACCUUGUCCAGAAGACACCUAUAAUCAAAAAGCCGACUUUUCGUUGUCGUGUGCCGAUUGUUCAGUUUGUGAAAUGACCCAAGUGGCUCUGGUUCCAUGUUCACCUGUGUCUGAUACUAUAUGUGGGUGUCCGUAUGGAACAGUAUGGAAAAGUGAUGAAGCGGACGGGAUUUGUGUGGAGGGCGGUAUAUAAAAUAAAAUAAAAAAUUAACUAUUCAUCUCUCAUUUGGUCAACUAUAACUCCAAUCUCCCAAACAGAGUUGUCUUCCCUUGCUGGAUAGCGCGACUUGUGUGGAGAAUGCCAUAACUCAUCAAACGGAACCUAGCAUAUUUACAACACUAGCAUUAAUAUCAUGUUUAAUCCAAUGUCUCCUAAUCAUUUCGGUAAAUAUUUUUCAAUCUGAUUAAAAUACAGAUAUAUAUUUCGCUUCGUGGGUGUUCGAUCGCUGCAUUGGGCGAGAAAUUUCAUCCAGAUUUUCCGGCUUGUUUACCCCUUGUCAGAGGUGCAGGACGGAGGGCCUGACAAGGACAGCUGUUUAGUCUUUCGGAUGGUUCGAAAAAUAAAAUGAAAUGAAAUGGGGUUUAACGACCUACUGUUCUGCUCCUAAACUGGGCUAAUGAAGAUGGGCUAUGAGGGAAAUUUUGCCCGGGCAGCGGCGCUACGGCCUACUCUUAUAUCGAAUUCCAACUGCCAAGGGAUCUUUUACGUGCACUCCAAUGCGUACACGGGGCCUCGAUUCGUCCCAUCUGAACGACUAGACAGCUGUCCCUGUCAGGCCCUCCGUCCUGCAUCACUGACAAGGGGAAACCACGCCGGAAAAUGGGACGUAAAACGGAGGUCGGGUCAGGAAUCGUAAGAGCGGCUUCUGACCCUAUGACGUCAGACAUUUGACUAACCAAUCAGCGUUGACGUUUCUAAUGGAUUACCCACAGUUCCGUGCGCCACACGCCAAAAACUCGACGUAACAUACCGUUUCAUUGGCUAAUCCCUCCCAUCAUCCAGAACGCCGAUUACAUAACAACUCAUCCAGAUCCCAGUGUAGUAAAGACAAAUAUAAUUUUGAAUAAUAAAAAAAAAACGAAAUGAAAUAAGAUCUGUGUUUUAAUCAGGUUGCAGGUAAAACUGUAAUAUAUAUCAAACGAAAUUCUAAACUAUAAAAAACUAAAAGAAAUUGGAUCUGUGUUUUUUAAUCGAAUUAAUAUUUUUUUAAAACAGUAUUAUGAUUGUAUAUGUUACGUAUGAAUUAACAAUUAUUUUUGUA